AUGAACGCUGGCGGCGUGCCUAAUACAUGCAAGUCGAGCGCACAGACGAGGAGCUUGCUCCUCUGACGUUAGCGGCGGACGGGUGAGUAACACGUGGAUAACCUACCUAUAAGACUGGGAUAACUUCGGGAAACCGGAGCUAAUACCGGAUAAUAUAUUGAACCGCAUGGUUCAAUAGUGAAAGACGGUUUUGCUGUCACUUAUAGAUGGAUCCGCGCCGCAUUAGCUAGUUGGUAAGGUAACGGCUUACCAAGGCGACGAUGCGUAGCCGACCUGAGAGGGUGAUCGGCCACACUGGAACUGAGACACGGUCCAGACUCCUACGGGAGGCAGCAGUAGGGAAUCUUCCGCAAUGGGCGAAAGCCUGACGGAGCAACGCCGCGUGAGUGAUGAAGGUCUUCGGAUCGUAAAACUCUGUUAUUAGGGAAGAACAAAUGUGUAAGUAACUAUGCACGUCUUGACGGUACCUAAUCAGAAAGCCACGGCUAACUACGUG
rnacentral:rRNA from 1 species